UAUUAAAAAUUUCAUCCAUUAUUACUGUUAAAAAUUGACAUAGUUGACAAAAUAAUCAAAUAAUAACUUGUGGCAUGCCACAUGUACCUCUUAUUGACAUACAGAGAUCAACUUUUAAUAGUAGAAAUAAAUGAAAAUUUUAAUA
rnacentral:pre_miRNA from 1 species